UAGGGAAUCUUCGGCAAUGGGGGGAACCCUGACCGAGCAACGCCGCGUGAGUGAAGAAGGUUUUCGGAUCGUAAAACUCUGUUAUUAGGGAAGAAUAAAUGUGUAAGUAACUAUGCACGUCUUGACGGUACCUAAUCAGAAAGCCACGGCUAACUACGUGCCAGCAGCCGCGGUAAUACGUAGGUGGCAAGCGUUGUCCGGAUUUAUUGGGCGUAAAGCGAGCGCAGGCGGUCAAUUAAGUCUGAUGUGAAAGCCCCCGGCUCAACCGGGGAGGGUCAUUGGAAACUGGUUGACUUGAGUGCAGAAGAGGAGAGUGGAAUUCCAUGUGGAGCGGUGAAAUGCGUAGAUAUAUGGAGGAACACCAGUGGCGAAGGCGACUCUCUGGUCUGUAACUGACGCUGAGGCUCGAAAGCGUGGGUAGCAAACAGG
rnacentral:rRNA from 1 species